UACGAAGGGGGGCUAGCGUUAAUCGGAAUUACUGGGCGUAAAGCGUGCGCAGGCGGUUUUGUAAGUCUGUCGUGAAAUCCCCGGGCUCAACCUGGGAAUUGCGAUGGAGACUGCAAGGCUAGAAUCUGGCAGAGGGGGGUAGAAUUCCACGUGUAGCAGUGAAAUGCGUAGAGAUGUGGAGGAACACCGAUGGCGAAGGCAGCCCCUGGGCUAACACUGACGCUCAUGCACGAAAGCGUGGGGAGCAAACAGG
rnacentral:rRNA from 1 species